rnacentral:tRNA from 1 species
UCCCUGGAGGACUAGUGGUUAGGCCACGGCGCUCUCACCGCUGCGGCCCGCGUUCGAUUCCCGGCCAGGGAA